UACGGAGGGAGCUAGCGUUAUUCGGAAUUACUGGGCGUAAAGCGCACGUAGGCGGCUUUGUAAGUAAGAGGUGAAAGCCCAGAGCUCAACUCUGGAAUUGCCUUUUAGACCGCAUCGCUUGAAUCAUGGAGAGGUCAGUGGAAUUCCGAGUGUAGAGGUGAAAUUCGUAGAUAUUCGGAAGAACACCAGUGGCGAAGGCGGCUGACUGGACAUGUAUUGACGCUGAGGUGCGAAAGCGUGGGGAGCAAACAGG
rnacentral:rRNA from 1 species